GCUGCAGAGAUUUGUCGAGAAGCUGCUGCUCCAGCUUCAGAAGAUCUUUUGAGGAUCUUGCAGAUUAGAUCUAGAUCUGAUUUUUGGAGCAAAGAUUCAUGAGGAGAAUACAAUCUAGAUCCUACUUGAGUGAAUAUCAGUAGAGGCCAGGCGACUACGUGGCUAUUUUAGAACCUCGGGCGUUGCUGCGAUCAUCUACAGGAUAAUCUAGUUACCCUAGAGGUAUU
rnacentral:lncRNA from 1 species